AUUGAACGCUGGCGGCAUGCUUUACACAUGCAAGUCGAACGGACCUAGGGGCUUGCUCCUAGGUUAGUGGCGAACGGGUGAGUAAUGCAUCGGAACGUACCGUGUAAUGGGGGAUAACGCAGCGAAAGUUGUGCUAAUACCGCAUACGAUCUACGGAUGAAAGCAGGGGAUCGCAAGACCUCGCGCUAUUGGAGCGGCCGAUAUCAGAUUAGCUAGUUGGUGGGGUAAAGGCCUACCAAGGCAACGAUCUGUAGUUGGUCUGAGAGGACGACCAGCCACACUGGGACUGAGACACGGCCCAGACUCCUACGGGAGGCAGCAGUGGGGAAUUUUGGACAAUGGGCGCAAGCCUGAUCCAGCAAUGCCGCGUGCAGGAAGAAGG
rnacentral:rRNA from 1 species